GCAUGGGGGAACCCUGAUGCAGCGACGCCGCGUGAAGGAAGAAGUAUCUCGGUAUGUAAACUUCUAUCAGCAGGGNAAGAAUUAGGACGGUACCUGACUAAGAAGCCCCGGCUAACUACGUGCCAGCAGCCGCGGUAAUACGUAGGGGGCAAGCGUUAUCCGGAUUUACUGGGUGUAAAGGGAGCGUAGACGGAUGGACAAGUCUGAUGUGAAAGGCUGGGGCUCAACCCCGGGACUGCAUUGGAAACUGCCCGUCUUGAGUGCCGGAGAGGUAAGCGGAAUUCCUAGUGUAGCGGUGAAAUGCGUAGAUAUUAGGAGGAACACCAGUGGCGAAGGCGGCUUACUGGACGGUAACUGACGUUGAGGCUCGAAAGCGUGGGGAGCAAACAGGAUUAGAUACCCUGGUAGUCCAAGGGCGAAUUC
rnacentral:rRNA from 1 species